rnacentral:rRNA from 3 species
UACGUAGGGUGCGAGCGUUAAUCGGAAUUACUGGGCGUAAAGGGUGCGCAGGCGGCCCUGUAAGACCGGUGUGAAAUCCCCGGGCUCAACCUGGGAAUUGCGCUGGUGACUGCAGGGCUAGAGUACGGUAGAGGGGGGUGGAAUUCCUGGUGUAGCAGUGAAAUGCGUAGAGAUCAGGAGGAACACCGAUGGCGAAGGCAGCCCCCUGGGCCUGUACUGACGCUCAUGCACGAAAGCGUGGGGAGCAAAC